rnacentral:rRNA from 1 species
GACGAACGCUGGCGGCGUGCUUAACACAUGCAAGUCGAACGGAAAGGCCCUGCUUUUGUGGGGUGCUCGAGUGGCGAACGGGUGAGUAACACGUGAGUAACCUGCCCUUGACUUUGGGAUAACUUCAGGAAACUGGGGCUAAUACCGGAUAGGAGCUCCUGCUGCAUGGUGGGGGUUGGAAAGUUUCGGCGGUUCGGGAUGGACUCGCGGCUUAUCAGCCUGUUGGUGGGGUAGUGGCUUACCACGGCUUUGACGGGUAGCCGGCCUGAGAGGGUGACCGGGCACAUUGCGACUGAGAGACGGACCAGAAUCCUACGGGAGGCAGCAGUGGGGAAUAUGGCAGAAUGGGCGGACGCGUGAUGCAGCAACGCCGCGUGCGGGAUGACGGCCUUCGGGUGGUAAACCGCUUUCGCAGGUGACGAAGAGGGCGUGACGGUAAUGGGUAAAGAAGCAACGGCUAACUACGUG